GAAAGGCAUUAGCUGCUGCUGCUGCUGCUGCGGCGGCUGUGAUUUAGCACGUGGAGGUGGUGGAGGAGGGCAGCGAUAGCCCUGUGUCCAGCCUGAGGAGGUGGAGGUGGGGGGGGCUGCCCCAGGGUUACCUGGACCUGAGGCUUUGUUGGAGGAGUGGUCUUCCUCUUCAUCAGAGGAGUCUCCAGUGUAUGCUACUAAACCUGUUUUCACCCUCUUCACUGCAGGUUCUGUGAGGAUGACGAACACAAACAGGAGGGAGAGAGAGGAGAACCAAAAACAGCAGCAGCAACAUUUUUUUCAAAAAGGUAAACGGUGAAUCAUUGAAACACAUUCAGGGAGAAACAAAUAGUUAAUGACACGUUCAGAUUGAAGAGGAAGGGACAGCCAUUGGUAAGCAGCCAUUGGUUGGUGGGGAGCGACAGUGUUAGGGCCGUCCAAUCGGGUGGCAGGACAGUGUCACGGGACGCGUCGUGCCCCACCCCCAAUCAGAAUCCAGCAUCAACCCAGAGAUACAUGAAAGACAAGGAGAACACAGAGAAAAAGAGAGAAAAAAAAACACAAAACAA